GACAACCUGGUUGAUCCUGCCAGUAGUCAUAUGCUUGUCUCAAAGAUUAAGCCAUGCAUGUCUCAGUACAAGCCAAAAUAAGGUGAAACCGCGAAAGGCUCAUUAAAUCAGUUAUGGUUCCUUAGAUCGUACCAACAUUUACUUGGAUAACUGUGGUAAUUCUAGAGCUAAUACAUGCAAACAGAGCUUCGACCGGAGACGGAAGAGGCGCUUUUAUUAGAUCAAAACCAAUCGGCGGCGGGUUCGUUCGCGGGCUCGUCGUCGUUUUCACUGACGAAUCUGAAUAACUUUCUGCUGAUCGCACGGUCUCGCACCGGCGACGCAUCUUUCAAAUGUCUGCCUUAUCAACUGUCGAUGGUAGGUUCUGUGCCUACCAUGGUUGUAACGGGUAACGGGGAAUCAGGGUUCGAUUCCGGAGAGGGAGCCUGAGAAACGGCUACCACAUCCAAGGAAGGCAGCAGGCGCGCAAAUUACCCACUCCCGGCACGGGGAGGUAGUGACGAAAAAUAACGAUACGGGACUCAUCCGAGGCCCCGUAAUCGGAAUGAGAACAAUUUAAAUCCUUUAACGAGGAUCAAUUGGAGGGCAAGUCUGGUGCCAGCAGCCGCGGUAAUUCCAGCUCCAAUAGCGUAUAUUAAAGUUGUUGCGGUUAAAAAGCUCGUAGUCGAAUCUGUGUCCCGCGCCGCCGGUUCGUCGCUCGCGGCGUUUAACUGGCGUGUCCGCGGGACGUCCUGCCGGUGGGCUUAGCCUUUUCAUUAAGGCGGCCCAAUCUUAAUCCCGCCGCGGUGCUCUUCACCGAGUGUCGAGGCGGGCCGGCACGUUUACUUUGAACAAAUUAGAGUGCUUAAAGCAGGCUAAAACUUCGCCUGAAUACUUCGUGCAUGGAAUAAUGGAAUAGGACCUCGGUUCUAUUUUGUUGGUUUUCGGAACCCCGAGGUAAUGAUUAAUAGGAACGGAUGGGGGCAUUCGUAUUGCGACGUUAGAGGUGAAAUUCUUGGAUCGUCGCAAGACGGACAGAAGCGAAAGCAUUUGCCAAAAACGNUUUCAUNGAUCAAGAACGAAAGUUAGAGGUUCGAAGGCGAUCAGAUACCGCCCUAGUUCUAACCAUAAACNAUGCCAGCUAGCGAUCCGCCGANGUUNCUNCNAUGACUCGGCGGGCAGCUUCCGGGAAACCAAAGCUUUNGGGUUCCGGGGGAAGUAUGGUUGCAAAGCUGAAACUUAAAGGAAUUGACGGAAGGGCACCACCAGGAGUGGAGCCUGCGGCUUAAUUUGACUCAACACGGGAAACCUCACCAGGCCCGGACACCGGAAGGAUUGACAGAUUGAGAGCUCUUUCUUGAUUCGGUGGGUGGUGGUGCAUGGCCGUUCUUAGUUGGUGGAGCGAUUUGUCUGGUUAAUUCCGAUAACGAACGAGACUCA
rnacentral:rRNA from 1 species